rnacentral:rRNA from 1 species
CUCCCUCGUUGCUGAUCUCAGAUUCGAUAAUGCCAAAUCGCACCACCUCGCCUAAAACCAACUUCGAUGAAGCGACGGGCGGUGUGUG